UGAACUGUCAUUCAAAACAAAACAGAGAAUUGAUCGAGAUGCAAACUGUCUAUUCAAUAAUGGAACACACAGCAACAGGAAUUUGUCGUGAUUUGCUGCAGUCAGGCUAAACAUCAUCUAAGAACAGAUUCUCUACAUGCCACCAUCGGGUUCCUCCAAGGUUAUUUGGAAUUCAGGAGAAUUGCAAUGGAACAGGCAUAAGACUGGCACAAGUUUUCAACACUAAGGGAAUACGUGAAAUUAUACACUUCAUAGCGUUAUAUGUGAUCCGAAAAGUUUCUCAUAGGUAACAUUUUAGCCAAUUAUAAAGGAUAUUAGCGUCAGUAGUGAAGAUUUAAAAGUUAAAUGACAUUGGAAAGAUCAUCAGUCUUCAACUGGCACUGGACAUAGGACAAUCUUCUCCUAUCUCUAUAAUAAUAUCACUAUCUGUGAAUAUCAGGUAGAAUUCUCCAAACGCUGUCACCCUUCAACGAGAGGAUCUCAAUUCUCCAGUGUACAUUUUCGGUCCUGUUAUUAGACCCGUCGUUCAUCAUCUCAUCGACGCUGUCGAAUCAGUAAAAUCGUUGCAGUGACUGAAAAGGGAUUCAUUCUAUUGGAAUAAUUCAAUCAUUCAUUCAGAUCAUUCAACUUCAAACUGCGUCAGGAAAUUUCACUGGCUUCUGAAGGCUCAGACAAGCCGAUCGGAAGUUUUUUACGUAGUUCAUGAAAGAAUACAUUCCAAAACAGAUGCAGUUUUAGUUGUGCAUUUUGAGUGAUUUUGUUAACCAUUGAAUUGUAAAUUGUUAUGUUAACACUGCAAACAAAUUUUUAUUCUCACAAUGCCCAAUAUGAACAAUUAAUCAA